ACUACGGGUGGCAGCAGUCGAGAAUCAUUCACAAUGGGGGAAACCCUGAUGGUGCGACGCCGCGUGGGGGAAUGAAGGUCUUCGGAUUGUAAACCCCUGUCAUGUGGGAGCAAAUGACAAAGAUAGUACCACAAGAGGAAGAGACGGCUAACUCUGUGCCAGCAGCCGCGGACAUACAGAGGUCUCAAGCGUUGUUAGGAAUCACUGGGCGUAAAGCGUGCGUAGGAUGUUUCGUAAGCCGUGUGUGAAAGGCGCGGGCACAACCCGCUGACGGCACAUGAUACUGCGAGACUAGAGUAAUGGAGGGGGAAGCGGAAUUCUCGGGGUAGCAGUGAAAUGCGUAGAUAUCGAGAGGAACACUCGUGGCGAAGGCGGGUUCCUGGACAUUAACUGACGCUGAGGCACGAAGGCCAGGGGAGCGAAAGGGAUUAGAUACCCUGGUAGUC
rnacentral:rRNA from 1 species